GUAGGUGGCAAGCGUUGUCCGGAAUUAUUGGGCGUAAAGCGCGCGCAGGCGGUUCUUUAAGUCUGAUGUGAAAGCCCACGGCUCAACCGUGGAGGGUCAUUGGAAACUGGAGAACUUGAGUACAGAAGAGGAAAGCGGAAUUCCACGUGUAGCGGUGAAAUGCGUAGAGAUGUGGAGGAACACCAGUGGCGAAGGCGGCUUUCUGGUCUGUAACUGACGCUGAGGCGCGAAAGCGUGGGGAGCAAACAGGAUUAGAUACCCUGGUAGUCCACGCCGUAAACGAUGAGUGCUAAGUGUUAGGGGGUUUCCGCCCCCCUUAGUGCUGCAGCUAACGCAUUAAGCACCCCCGCCUGGGGAGUACGGCCGCAAGGCUG
rnacentral:rRNA from 1 species